rnacentral:lncRNA from 1 species
CUCAGACUUCCUGCAAUGGUCCACCAAGUGGGCAGGACAGGGGUAACAAGGGCCACACGCAUUUUGGCAGCUGAUCAGGAUGUGGCCCACCCACGCUUGUCUAUUUCUUUUCUCUACUACAGGUCAGAACCUCAGAAGGAGGUGGAAACAAAUCCGGCUAUUUUACCAUUGGUUAAAGGUCACAUGCAGCUAUAGUGCAACGUCAAUAGGGGCUGUCCUAGCCCGUGGGACCAGCAAGCAGAGAUGUCCUUCCGUGCCACGAAGAAACAGUCUCUGCUGUGGCCCUAUGGAGUGCCGGCUGCUCACGGAAGAGACAGGGUUUCAUUAUGUUGCCCAGGCUGGUCUCAAACUUCCGGACUCAAGCGAUCCACCUGCCUCAGCCUCCCAGAGUGCCAGAUUGGUAUCACGGGCGUGAGCCACUGUGCCAGACCGCUGUAAAUAGAAUCCAGCAUUUGUAUUGUCACCAGAGAGCACAGCUGUAUUGGUGAAGAGCCUUUACACAGAGGACACCCAUGACCCAGGGCACGGGCAGCUCUCGAGGCCCACCUACCAGUCCUGACUCAUCACCUCCAGCUCAGAUCAUCAUCUGCCCCAGCCCUGUUGGGUCAACCCUAAUCUGCAGCCCAGUACCUGCUUUCUGGAGGGGAGAAAUCAAAUCCUUGCUUCCAGGCUGCCAUCCCCAGCCCCCCCGUCCAGUGCCCAAGGAAAGCCAGGAGGAGCAAAACUUACCAUCAAGGCCAGCGUCCGGAUCUCCUAAAAAACCAACACCAGGCAAUCAGUUGAAGAGCAAACCAAGAGCCAAGUGGAAGGUUCUCACUGCACAGUCAUGGAAACAUGGGAGCUAGGCCCCUCAAAGGAGCGUGGGUGGAGGGAGACGCUUGCAGGUGGGCUCCAUGGCCCCCAGACUCACACCACCCCCACCCCACCUCUCGCUGAGGUUUGUAAUCACUGGAGAGAGAAUACGUAGCAUCUCCUAAGCAUGAUUAUACUCUGAGGCCGUCCUACAAUGGACUCAGGCACACCCUAAAUGGACUGCAACCUUUACUUCACUUUACUGAAGGGAAGGAAGCACCACCUCUUAUUCUUUCUAGUCACCUUCUGAGGACCCUCCCUUGUUCUUUCCUCUUCUCCCAGAACCCAGAUUUCAAAGUUGCCACGCACCUCCCUUUAAACAGACACAAUAUAGCAAAAUAUGGAACCACUCAAAAAAUAGAUCAGGGAGAUGAUUGUUGGCUUUAAAAGAGGAUUUUACACCUUGUAAAUGGAGUCACAUACGGACACAGACUCCUUUGAAGAAGUGGUUCUUGAGCAGGGGCAAUUUCUUCCCCCAAGGGAUAACUGGUCAUGUCUGGAGACAUAGUUUGGUUGUCACAGCUGAGGCUCGGGUGCUACUGGCAUCUAGCAGGUAGAGACUGGGGACGCUGCUGCACAUCCUACAACACACAGGACCGACUCUCCCCCCACCACAAAGAUUCUCUAGCCCCAAAAGUCAGUGCCAAGGCUGGGAAACCCUGCUUUAAAGGGUGGGGAGCGGGAGCUCAUGAACUUGAAACAGGGUUAAACUGACACGAAAGGAGAUGCGUUCCAGGAAGAUUUGCUGCUGCAUGAAAGGGGGUUAUACAUGCAUUAAAGAAAUGGGGCCCCAGCACCCUGCAUGGGCCGUAACUUGUGGGGUGCCAGGAUAAUUCCACUAUGGCACUCAGGGGCCCUGAGGCAGGAUAACUGGCCAGCUGGGCCCAGACAGAGAGCCCCGGCCACCUGGAUGCCAGUAAUGGGGCCAUUUCCCAGGAGGCUACACAGCGGGAGGUCAAAGGAGAGAAAGCGAGGAAGCAGCUCUCCUGGAAGCGCUGCCUGAGGGCCUGAGGGCAGGGCCCCUACUCGGCUGUGUGGAAGGGCCCCCUGAUCAGGGCAUGGUGCAGAGCCUGAGAUCCAUGAGGAUCUUGGCCUCUGGGCUGGACCCUGCUCACCUGGAGAGCCUCAUUGAUGUUUCCAUUGUAAUCCACCAUCUCUCCUUUCCCUGGUUCUCCCUUGGAGCCCUGGAAGGCAAAUGAGAUCUCAACCCACGGCCUGGACCGGGAGGGCCGGGAGGGCAACUGUGGCCUGCUCUCUAUCAGCCCACACUGGCUGCACCUAGCUGCACAUGGGUGGACCCAGAACAGCCAGCGGGGCCCUGGGGAUUCUGAACACUCUCAGAGGAUGCUCGGGGAUUGCAGAACAAAUCGAGAAGACUCCAUGUGAGAAGUCUGGGCUAGGCCGACCUGGGAAGAUUGGGUCCACCUGUGCUGCCAGUCAGACCUCCCACCUGAGGGCCAGAAUGCUCUUCCCCUCCUGCCUCGUCAAGACCCCAAGGUCAAGCCUGUGAAAGGGACAUAAAAACUUGGGACCCCAGUUCACUCUGCCAAAAGAAAAAAAGUUCAGCUGAAAGCUGAGUCAUGCAAGAAGCUGCCUUUCCUUUUGUUCCUAAUCAGACAGCUACAGAUAAAAGGUUAAAUAUCCCCACAGGUAGCUGCUCCAUGUUCACCACAGCUUACAUAAAGUGCCGAUUUACUGAGCGUGAGACUAAUACAUAAUCAACUAUUCCGCUACUUGCUCCUUUUCCCUUGCAGUGUGUGGAUUACCAUACCCUUCCUCUUUCCCCUCCAGCCUGCUUUUCCCCUUUAAAUAUUGAAGCCCUCAAAAUCAUCUUUGGCAAAAGGCACAGACCUGUCUCUUGGGCACGUGCCCUUAACCUUGGCAAAAUAAACUUCUAAAUAUUAAUUGAGACCUGUCUCAGAUGCUUUUUUGAUUUACCAGCCGCUUCACGCUGUGACUCCAGGAGGGAGAGGCACA